rnacentral:rRNA from 1 species
AUUGAACGCUGGCGGCAGGCCUAACACAUGCAAGUCGAGCGGUAGAGAGAAGCUUGCUUCUCUUGAGAGCGGCAAACGGGUGAGUAAUGCCUAGGAAUCUGCCUGGUAGUGGGGGAUAACGCUCGGAAACGGACGCUAAUACCGCAUACGUCCUACGGGAGAAAGCAGGGGACCUUCGGGCCUUGCGCUAUCAAAUGAGCCUAGGUCGGAUUACCUAGUUGGUGAGGUAAUGGCUCACCAAGGCGACAAUCCGUAACUGGUCUGAGAGGAUGAUCAGUCACACUGGAACUGAAACACGGUCCAAACUCCUACGGGAGGCAGCAGUGGGGAAUAUUGGACAAUGGGCGAAAGCCUGAUCCAGCCAUGCCGCGUGUGUGAAGAAGGUCUUCGGAUUGUAAAGCACUUUAAGUUGGGAGGAAGGGCAGUUACCUAAUACGUAUCUGUUUUGACGUUACCGACAGAAUAAGCACCGGCUAACUCUGUG